UACGUAGGGACCAAGCGUUGUCCGGAAUCAUUGGGCGUAAAGAGCGUGUAGGCGGCUUGUUAAGUCUUGCGUGAAAUCUCGGGGCUCAACCCCGAGCGGUCGUGAGAAACUGGCAGGCUAGAGUGCGGGAGAGGAGAGUGGAAUUCCUGGUGUAGCGGUGAAAUGCGCAGAUAUCAGGAAGAACACCAAUGGCGAAAGCAGCUUUCUGGGACGGUACUGACGCUGAGACGCGAAAGCGUGGGGAGCGAACAGG
rnacentral:rRNA from 1 species